AACGCACAUUGCGCCCCUUGGUAUUCCGAGGGGCAUGCCUAUUCGAGCGUCAUUAUCACCCCUCAAGCCUAGCUUGGUGUUGAGGCCUGCUGUAAGGGCAGCCUCUAAAAUCAGUGGCAGUGCUGUCAGGCUCUAAGCGUAGUAAAAUUUAUCGCUAUAGACACCUGGUGGACACUCGCCAGAACCCCCCCAUUUUUUAAUGAUUGACCUCGGAUUAGGUAGGGAUACCCGCUGAACUUAA
rnacentral:misc_RNA from 1 species